AUUGAACGCUGGCGGCAUGCCUUACACAUGCAAGUCGAACGGCAGCACGGGAGCAAUCCUGGUGGCGAGUGGCGAACGGGUGAGUAAUACAUCGGAACGUGCCCAGUUGUGGGGGAUAGCCCGGCGAAAGCCGGAUUAAUACCGCAUACGACCUACGGGUGAAAGCGGGGGAUCGCAAGACCUCGCGCAAUUGGAGCGGCCGAUGGCAGAUUAGCUUGUUGGUGGGUAAAAGCCCACCAAGGCGACGAUCUGUAGCUGGUCUGAGAGGACGACCAGCCACACUGGGACUGAGACACGGCCCAGACUCCUACGGGAGGCAGCAGUGGGGAAUUUUGGACAAUGGGCGCAAGCCUGAUCCAGCCAUGCCGCGUGUGGGAAGAAGGCC
rnacentral:rRNA from 1 species